rnacentral:rRNA from 1 species
GACGGUAACAGCCCGGUAGUUGAAAUGGCUUUCCCUCCAGAGUGGAUCCUGAGUACGGCGGAACAAGUGAAAUUCCGUCGGAAUCCGGGAGGACCCUCGCCCAAGGCUAAAUACUCCCAAGUGACCGAUAGUGAACCAGUACCGUGAGGGAAAGGUGAAAAGCACCCCGGGAGGGGAGUGAAACAGUUCCUGAAACCGUGUGCCUACAAGUAGUUAGAGCCCGUUAAUGGGGGAUAGCGUGCCUUUUGGAGAAUGAAACGGCGAGUUACGAUUUGUUGCAAGGGUAAGCGGCAAAAACGGAACCGGAGCGAAAACGAGUCUGAAUCGGGCGCAUAAGAAACAGGCCGUAGACCCGAAACCA